CGCGGGUGCGGUGAAUCAGGCAGUACGCGAAGUGAUUCGCUGAUGAGCCGUCGUUGACCCCGUGCGACUCUGCCGAUAUAGAUGGGGCGCACCCGCC
rnacentral:sRNA from 1 species